AAAUGGAGGCAGACAACUCAGAUAGGAGUAGCUGGGGAAAAAGGGAAAAACCUCCCCUGAGGGCUCCUGACCAAACCUGUCACAGACACCUCCGCUGAGAAGGAAGGGACUACCAGCUAAGCCCAGCCAAGCUGAAGGACUAAAGAGAAGAUAGAGAUGCUGAAAGCCUCGUGGCAUGAAUGACCCACUUACAGGAGCCAGGAGACAGACUGACGAUACGAAGGGAGCAAUGAUGCAAGAGGGAAAGGGAUUGGACAGGACUUGCAGGAUGAGAUGGGAGCAGACAUGUAAGGAGGAGCAGAGCGUUAUGCGCAGCUGUGAGUAAGAGGAUUAGAAAUUUGGACUCGAUGUGGAAGACAAGUGAAAGUCAAUGACGAAACCUGAAUGGAGUAAUACGCGCAACAGAUUAUAUUUUCAACAGCAUUUUGAAUAAACUGGAGAGAAGCAAGGAGGCCAAAGGGAAGGUGGUUGCAGUAAUCAAGGCAAGAGAUAACAAAGGCAUGGACAAGGCCUUUAGCAGUAGCAAUGGACUUUAUUUUAAACCUACCACCACAGCUAGCCCUUUUGUUGGCAACCCACCAAACAGGCCAAGGAUCAAAUAGGCAAUGGACACCUAACUCUUCUCUCCUUCCUACAGCUGGUUUUGGGUUGGGGCUAAGGAACAUCGGCAGGACAGCACAUGGAUUGUGUGCAUUGCUACAGAUUGUACUGA